UCCAUCAAGCAAUGGAGUCCUUGGCCACCC
rnacentral:piRNA from 1 species